rnacentral:rRNA from 1 species
UACGGGGGGGGCAAGCGUUGUUCGGAAUUAUUGGGCGUAAAGGGCGUGUAGGCGGUUCGUUAAGUCUGAUGUGAAAGCCCCGGGCUCAACCUGGGAAGUGCAUUGGAAACUGGCGAACUUGAGUACGGGAGAGGGCAGUGGAAUUCCUAGUGUAGGAGUGAAAUCCGUAGAUAUUAGGAGGAACACCGGUGGCGAAGGCGGCUGCCUGGACCGAUACUGACGCUGAGACGCGAAAGCGUGGGGAGCAAACAGG